CAGAAACUGGCUGACUUGUAUUCUAUGAGUCAGAGGAGAAGCCAUGUGCUGCUGGAGGGGGAUGCUAGACUCCUUAGGAGACUCUUGAGCAUACUUUAGGAUUUGAUCAGAGUGGUGAAGAAACUGAGACAAUUGUCAGCCAUGCCUACUCUCUGCUGCUGCUCUUGACCUGCUUGCUGUUCCUUCCUUCCUCCCUCAGCAUGACACUGGGAAUCUACUGAUACAUGGAGGAAGUGCAUCUGGAAUUUGAACGAUUCAUUGAACUUUUGGAAUAUGC